rnacentral:siRNA from 1 species
GGAGUCCAGCAUCGGGUUGCUACC